UAUUUCACGAUCGGUUCUUUGUCUUGUGUAUCGUCUUCUUCGUCUCCUUGCCUGGUUUUACAUCUUGAGCUCAUAAGUAAUGGCCUCUCGCAUGUUUAUUCAAUUUGUUGUCUAAAAUUUUCAGAAGCUUCUGAAAUUUCUACAACCAUACAAAGAGUUUAAUGAUCAUGGUUUACCUUAGUGCCUAUUAGUUGACGUAUACAACUUACAUUAUAAUUUAAGGGCAACAAGAUAUAAAACAAGGAUAAUGUGCACCCAGAGCAUGUGGAUUUGUCUCUCAAGUGCAAACUAUGAGAGCAGAUAGUUGGACCAUCAGGGCUAGUGACAGCCAGGGAGUUGAGAAAAGAGGGUUACAGGGUGGUUGUGUUGGAGAAGAAUCAUGAUGUUGGAGGGCAGUGGCUUUAUCAGGCAAAUGUGGAAGAAGAGGACCAUUUAGGGAGAAAGCCUUUUCUAAAGAAUGGAUACAUGGAAAAGAAAACAAAUGCAUAGUCACAUAUACAGGACUCCAGAACCAUUCAAUAAUGAGAUUGUGGUGGUGGUUGGAAAUUCUUUGAAUGGGCAAGGCAUAUCAAUAGAGCUUGUGGAAGUAGCAAAGAAAGUCAACAUGAGUUUCAGAUCUCACUACAAGGCAUAUCAAUAGAUUUAUUUUUGUCAUCUUGUAUCCUUGAAUUGUAUACAAUGCAUGAAUCAUUGUGACUUUUCUUCCCAAGUCACUUCAAGGAAAUAGACUAACCGAUAAGAUUCUGAAAGUCAUUCGUUUAAAGCAAGCUCUUGCCAUUUUGUGGUUGAAUUAUGAAGAUCCUUUAGUCAACCAAGGUGCAUAAGGUGCAUGGACUAAGGAAGAGGACAAGUCCCUUUUACUUAUUGUCCAAAAUAUGUGAUAAGGAACUGAAUAUUGCUUCAUCAUUAAGCACAAAUCAAGCAGGACUCCAUUUCAAUGAUUGUCACUAUUCCAAAAAGGCUUAAAUCAUUCCAUGCUAAAUAGUGAAUGGAAUGAGGAAGAAGAUGUUCAAUGUUCUGCGGUGACAUAUUUUGGUGAUAACAAUUGGUCGUGUGUGGCUUUUGUUUUAGAACGACAGAGGGGAACCUAGUGCUCAAAUAAGUUGGUUAACUAUUUAAAUUGUGUUUGUAGUUGGAGUUUGAAUAAGGGAGCUAAUUAUGUUGAUUAUAUACAUUUAUACAGUGUACUCAUGUAUACAUUUGUGUCACAAACAAAUUCUUACUGAUUUAGUUUUAUCU